rnacentral:rRNA from 1 species
CCUACGGGUGGCAGCAGUGGGGAAUAUUGGGCAAUGGGCGCAAGCCUGACCCAGCAACGCCGCGUGAAGGAAGAAGGCUCUCGGGUUGUAAACUUCUUUUAAGAGGGGAGAGCAGAAGACGGUACCUCUUGAAUAAGCCACAGCCAACUACGUGCCAGCAGCCGCGGUAGUACGUAGGUUGCAAGCAUUGUCCGGAUUUACUGGGUGUAAGGGGCGUGUAGGCGGGAAGACAAGUCAGUUGUGAAAUCCCGGGGCUCAACCGCGGAACUGCAGUUGAAACUGUUUUUCUUGAGUACCGGAGAGGUAAUCGGAAUUCCUGGUGUAGCGGUGAAAUGCGUAGAUAUAAGGAAGAACACCAGUGGCGAAGGCGGAUGACUGGACGGCAACUGACGGUGAGGCGCGAAAGCGUGGGGAGCAAACAGGAUUAGAUACCCCAGUAGUC